GACAAUAUUACAUUAUAGGGACCAAAGAAAAAUGUUACAGAAAGCUGAGUGAUAGCCUCCUGGUGCUGGCUUAGUCAGUCUCUCUUGUAUGAACAGUGACCUACUGCAAGUAAAUAAAUAAUAAAUGAGAAAGAGACAACAGCGGACCAGAAGAUGGAUGUAACAGCAGCGUGUGCAUGGAGGAACAUGGAAAAUGUAGGCACAAUCCCAAAGGCUAGAAAUAGAGCCAAAGCAACAAAACGUGGAGAAAAAUGUCCCACCCUAAUCAUGCCAGCGGGAUCUAAAAGCGUUCGUGCCCUGGGAAACCGACACUGAGCACAGCUGCUGUCUUGCCUGCCUCACCCCCAGUUAUAGCCUGAACAACAGUGAGGUGUGGUCAGACCCAUUUUCAUCCAGGCAAUCAGCUGACUGCUGAAGAAACAACCAGGAAUUUAGAGCCUGGCCAGUAGAAGGAGAAAUGUAAUGAGAAGUAAGACAGGGAAAAAAUAAAGUGCGAGUCCGAGUGCUAGAAAAUGUCAACUGCCUAACAUACAGACAACUGAUACCUGGAUGCAAAAUACAGAGCCAAUGAUGCAAAGAAACAGGGAAAAGAUUAUUGCCAAGACUUCCAAGAUCAGUAAUACGACUCCAGAAGCUCAGGAAAACCAGGCCAAAAACCAAAUCUGAGCAACUUACAAGACACCCAGAAGAAGGAAACUGUGGCACUCGAGAGGGUUUUGCACUACAGGAAGGAGGCAGACUCCUAUCAGAUGCUCCGUCAUUCAGAAGACCGCAGAUGCUCGCUCUGAAUUCUGGGGUCUCCUUUCCUAUCUCCCUGCCGCCUUCCCUCCCUCCUUCCCUUCCUCCCAAGCCUGUAUUGAAUAUUAUUUUUCAGGACUUUGCUCACUUUUAAAAUUGGGAUAUUUUCUUACUAUUGAGUUGUUUCAGUUCUUCAUACAUACUUAGAUGUUAACUUCUAUCAAAUAUACAUUGCAAACAUUUUCUGCCAAAACCUAGGCUGUUUCUUUAUUCAUCUGCUUUCCUUGGCUGUAAAGAAGCAUUUUGGUGUGAUGCAAUCCCAUUUACCUAUUUUUACCCUUGUUACAUGUACUUCUAGGGUCAUUUCCAAGAAAGUUUGCCCACACUAAUGUCAGGAAGGCUUUCUUUUGUUUUAUUUUAAUAGUUUUUGAGUUUUAAGUCUUAGAUUCAUGUUUCAAAUCCAGUUUAAGUUGACUUUUGUGGAUGAGGUGAGGUGAGGGUCCAGUUCAGUUCUUUUGCACGUGAAUAACAAGUUGCUCUGACCCCAUUUACAGAAGAAAGUUCAGCGGCUGUCACUGCGGGGCGUCUUGCUGCUUCCUCCAUUCUGUCCCACUAAGUCUAUACCCAGUUGUUGGUGGUCCACACGAUGCUGUUUUGCUGUGUGUUAUAGAUUUUGAUAUCAGAUCUUUCAGUUCUUCUGGACCAGAUUUUUAUAACAAGCAAAAAUAUUU